UAAAAGUUUUAUUCUUGCUUAAUUACUUAUUUUAAUUUAAUGUUAUAUGCAAAAUUUUAUAUUUAAUAAUUUCUUAAUGAAUUAAUUAAAUUAUUUAGUGCAGUAAUGAAUAUUAAAUAAUAAAGGGAAUUUUGAUUUAGUUAUUUUUGAUAGUGUUGAUUAAAUAUGUGCCAGCAGUCGCGGUUAUACAUAGGACAUAAAUAAGUAUUUUUAGUUAUAUAGUUAAUUUAUUUAUUUAAUUUAAUUUGAUAAUUUUUGGGUAAAAUUUAAAUUUUUGUUUUUAAUUUAUUUUAUAUUAAAUGAGGCUGUGAAAUCUAAAUUAUUUAAACUAGGAUUAGAUACCCUAUUAUUUUGGAUAUAAAAUUUUAAUCUUGAGUAGUAUUAGAUAUGUACUUGAAACUUAAAGAAUUUGGCGGUAUUUUAGUCUAGUUAGAGGAAUCUGUCCCAUUAUCGAUAAUCCACGUUGAACCUUACUUAAUAUGAUUUAAUAUGUAUACCGCCGUUUAUUUGAAGAUCUUUUUAGGGUUAAAUUUCUUUAAAUUUNAAUUAAUUUUAAUUCAGGUCAAGGUGCAGUUGAUAAUUAAGUGGAGAUGGAUUACAAUAUUUAAAAAGUAAAUGAAUUAAGGCUUGAAAAAUUUUAUGAAGGUGGAUUUAAUAGUAAUUAUUAAUAAGAAUUAUUUUUGUGAUUUUGGCUCUAAAAUGUGCACACAUCGCCCGUCACUCUCGUUAUUAAGAUGAGAUAAGUCGUAACAAAGUAGGUGUACCGGAAGGUGUAGCUAGAUUGAC
rnacentral:ncRNA from 1 species